GCAGACGCAGCAAGAAUACAGAAUAAGCUGAAAUAAACCUACAAAAUUCCACCAAGAUCGAAAAGAGAAAGCAGAUUAAUGAAUACACAUCACUACUAGUACUUUUACGUGUCUCGUUUUUAAUUCUUAUGCAUUUCUUGAAUAAUGUAUUUUUGUUUUUUCAUUGACAACAAGUGGAUCGAGAGCCUUGGACCAUUCU